UGGCUCAGAUUGAACGCUGGCGGCAUGGCUAAGACAUGCAAGUCGAGCGCGAAAGUUCCUUCGGGAGCGAGUAGAGCGGCGAAAGGGCGAGUAAUGCGUUCCUACGUACCUUCAGGUGAGGGAUAGCCCGGGGAAACCCGGUGUAAUACCUCAUGUGGUCUCCGGAUCAAAGGCUUCGGCCGCCAGAAGAGCGGGGAACGUCCUAUCAGGUUGUUGGUGAGGUAAAAGCUCACCAAGCCUUAGACGGGUAGCGGGUGUGAGAGCACGACCCGCCGCAUCGGGACUGAGACACUGCCCGGACUCCUACGGGAGGCUGCAGUAACGAAUAUUCCGCAAUGCGCGAAAGCGUGACGGAGCAAUGCCGCGUGCAGGAUGAAGCCCCUCGGGGUGUAAACUGCUGUCAGGGGUCACCAAGAUCUGAGGAACCCCAGAGGAAGGGCCGGCUAACUUCGUGCCAGCAGCCGCGGUAAUACGAAGGGCCCGAGCGUUGCGCGGAAUCACUGGGCUUAAAGCGUACGCAGGCGGACAAGCAGGCAUCGUGUGAAAUCCCUCCGCUCAACGGAGGAACUGCACGGUGAACCGUUUGUCUUGAGACAAGUAGGGGCUGUCGGAACGCUAGGUGGAGUGGUGAAAUGCGUUGAUAUCUAGCGGAACGCCAAAGGAGAAAUCAGGCAGCUGGGCUUGUUCUGACGCUGAGGUACGAAAGCGUGGGGAGCGAACGGGAUUAGAUACCCCGGUAGUCCACGCCGUAAACGAUGUGCACUAGGUCGAGGGGGUUCUGACGCCGCUCUUGGCCGAAGGAAAACUAUUAAGUGCACCGCCUGGGGAGUACGGUCGCAAGGCUAAAACUCAAAGGAAUUGACGGGGGCUCACACAAGCGGUGGAGCAUGUGGCUUAAUUCGAAGCAACGCGAAGAACCUUAUCCUGGGUUUGACAUGUAUGGAUUAACUCCCUGAAAAGGAAGCCACGCCCUUUGGGUGGAACAUACACAGGUGCUGCAUGGCUGUCGUCAGCUCGUGCUGUGAAGUGUCGGGUUAAGUCCCUUAACGAGCGCAACCCUUAUCGUUAGUUGCCAGCGCGUAAUGGCGGGGACUCUAGCGAGACUGCCGGUGUCAAACCGGAGGAAGGUGGGGAUGACGUCAAGUCCGCAUGGCCUUUAUGCCCAGGGCUGCACACGUGCUACAAUGGCCGGUACAGAACGACGCAAGAUCGCAAGAUGGAGCAAAUCGCUAAACCAUGCCCCAGUUCGGAUAGCAGGCUGAAAUUCGCCUGCUUGAAGCCGGAAUCGCUAGUAAUCGGGGAUCAGCUACGCCCCGGUGAUACGUUCCUGAGCCUUGUACACACCGCCCGUCAAGUCAUGGAAGCUGGCAGCACCCGAAGUCGCCGCGAUUCAGCGGUGCCCACGGUGAGGCUGGUGACUGGGACUAAGUCGUA
rnacentral:rRNA from 1 species